AAUCAUAGAUUUUUUAAUUGAAAGCUGGAAUGAAUGGUCGGAUGAGGGGAUUCUGUCUCACUUUAAAUUUAUUUGAAUUUUAUUUUUAAGUCAAAAAGCUUAAAUUUCAUAAAAAGACGAGAAGACCCUGUAGAGUUUAAUAGGUUUAUAGUUUAAUGUUUGAAGGGUUUUAAAUGUAUUAUACUAUAGUCUAUUUUGUUGGGGUGACAUUAGAAUUUAGUAAACUUCUAUUAAUUUUUGCAUUGAUUGAUGAAUUGAGGAUCCUGAAUUUUGGAUUUAAAGAAUAAAUUACCUCAGGGAUAACAGCGUAAUUUCUUUGGAGAGUUCUAAUCGAUAAAGGGGAUUGCGACCUCGAUGUUGGAUUAAAAUUAAAUCUUGGUGCAGAGGCUAGGGAUUUUGAGUCUGUUCGACUUUUAAAAUUUUACAUGAUCUGAGUUUAAACCGGCGUGAGCCAGGUUGGUUUCUAUCUUUUAUAGUUAAAAUAUUUUAGUACGAAAGGACCAGAUAUUUGAAUAAUAUUUUAUAUUUGAAUGAGAUUGUUAUUUUGGCAGAUAGUGCGAUAGAUUUAGAAUCUUUAUAUGUAUUGUGUUACAAAUAACAAUUUAUUUUUUUGAUUUGUUUUUGUUGUUACUUCAAUGUUGAUUUAAU
rnacentral:rRNA from 1 species